UGGGGAAUAUUGGACAAUGGGGGAAACCCUGAUCCAGCAAUGCCGCGUGUGUGAUGAAGGCCUUCGGGUUGUAAAGCACUUUUGUCAGGGACGAUGAUGACGGUACCUGACGAAUAAGCUCCGGCUAACUUCGUGCCAGCAGCCGCGGUAAUACGAGGGGAGCUAGCGUUGUUCGGAAUUACUGGGCGUAAAGGGCGUGUAGGCGGUACCAUAAGUCAGAUGUGAAAGCCCUAGGCUUAACCUAGGAGGUGCAUUUGAUACUGUGGAACUAGAGAUCGAGAGAGGAAAGUGGAAUUACGAGUGUAGAGGUGAAAUUCGUAGAUAUUCGUAAGAACACCAGUGGCGAAGGCGACUUUCUGGCUCGAUACUGACGCUAAGGCGCGAAAGCGUGGGGAGCAAACAGGAUUAGAUACCCUGGUAGUCCCUGAGCGGG
rnacentral:rRNA from 1 species